rnacentral:rRNA from 1 species
GAUGAACGCUGGCGGCGUGCCUAAUACAUGCAAGUCGAGCGAACAGACGAGGAGCUUGCUCCUUUGACGUUAGCGGCGGACGGGUGAGUAACACGUAGGUAACCUACCUAUAAGACUGGGAUAACUUCGGGAAACCGGAGAUAACACCGGAUAAUAUUUCGAACCGCAUGGUUCGAUAGUGAAAGAUGGCUUUGCUAUCACUUAUAGAUGGACCUGCGCCGUAUUAGCUAGUUGGUAAGGUAACGGCUUACCAAGGCAACGAUACGUAGCCGACCUGAGAGGGUGAUCGGCCACACUGGAACUGGGACACGGUCCAGACGCCUACGGGAGGCAGCAGUAGGGAAUCGGCCGCAAUGGUCGAAAGCCUGACGGAGCAACGCCGCGUGAGUGAUGAAGGUCUUCGGAGCGUAAAACUCUGUUAUGAGGGAAGAACAAACGUGUAAGUAACUGUGCACGUCUUGACGGUACCUAAUCAGAAAGCCACGGCUAACUACGUG